ACAGGGAUUGCCCUAGUAACGGCGAGUGAAGCGGCAACAGCUCAAAUUUGAAAUCUGAUCUCUUCGAGGUCCGAGUUGUAAUUUGUAGAGGGCGCUUUGGUGUUGGCUGCGGUCUAAGUUCCUUGGAACAGGACGUCAUAGAGGGUGAGAAUCCCGUCUGUGGUCGCAUGUCUUCACCGUGUAAAGCCCCUUCGACGAGUCGAGUUGUUUGGGAAUGCAGCUCUAAAUGGGAGGUAAAUUUCUUCUAAAGCUAAAUACUGGCCAGAGACCGAUAGCGCACAAGUAGAGUGAUCGAAAGAUGAAAAGCACUUUGGAAAGAGAGUCAAAAAGCACGUGAAAUUGUUGAAAGGGAAGCGCUUGCAGCCAGACUUGCUUGCAGUUGCUCAUCCGGGCGUUCGCCCGGUGCACUCUUCUGUAGGCAGGCCAGCAUCAGUUUGGGCGGUUGGAUAAAGGCCUCUGUCAUGUAUCUUCUCCGGAAGACCUUAUAGGGGAGGCGUAAUGCAACCAGCCUGGACUGAGGUCCGCGCAUCUGCUAGGAUGCUGGCGUAAUGGCUGUAAGCGGCCCGUCUUGAAACACGGACCAAGGAGUCUAACAUCUAUGCGAGUGUUUGGGUGUCAAGCCCGAGCGCGUAAUGAAAGUGAACGGAGGUGGGAACCCUUGGGUGCACCAUCGACCGAUCCUGAUGUCUUCGGAUGGAUUUGAGUAAGAGCAUAGCUGUUGGGACCCGAAAGAUGGUGAACUAUGCUUGAAUAGGGUGAAGCCAGAGGAAACUCUGGUGGAGGCUCGCAGCGGUUCUGACGUGCAAAUCGAUCGUCAAAUUUGGGCAUAGGGGCGAAAGACUAAUCGAACUAUCUAGUAGCU
rnacentral:rRNA from 1 species